CCAAGAUAGCCAGCCAGACAGAGCACAAGAUAUGUACAACAUAUGCACACCUAAAAAGUAAAUUUUCAUGUGUUAUAUAAUAAAUUAGCUUGCGUGAGUCCCCCAUCCAGUACAUUGUCCCGUCCACCAGGCUCAGCCCAGCAAUAGGUCUGGCUUGGCCCGCUCAGGCAUCACACAUAUCAGGCUCCUUUCACCAUUGAGUUCAUUGUAUGCUGCACAUCAUGGUAUUACAUGUAUAUCCAUAAGAUGUUUAUUUCAAGGAUUAUAAGUGCUUGAAGAACAGCUAUUUGUGGCCCAGUCCCCCCCCCUGAGGGAGCCCUUGUGGUCAAAACACCCGCCCUUCAGGGGUUCAAGAUCAUGUGGGAUGUGCUCACUACUCCAGGUCCAUAACUCUUAGAGAAUGAACUCCAACACUUAAGCCCUGAACAUAGAUAUUUAGAUGAAUUGUAUGUUUUUAAUCAGUUUAUCAUAUUCCAACUUUGCCCCGAGAGUCAGUUUUUUACUUAAUUUUUAACCCGUCCGCUGCGAUUGGCACGGAUUUGGCUUUCACUAGUAGCCUGGUAACGUAUAGUCCCAGGUCUUUCUCUGCCUCUGUGGUGGAUAGUGGAGUGUUUCCCAUGUGGUAUUGGUGUGCUGGAUAUCCCUUCACUGGUAACCUGAUUACAUACACUCCCAGGUCUUUCUCUGCCUCUGUGGUGGAUAGUGGAGUGUUUCCCAUGUGGUAUUGGUGUGCUGGAUAUCCCUUCACUGGUAGCCUGGUUACAUACAAUCCCAGGUCUUUCUCUGCCUCUGUGGUGGAUAGUGGAGUGUUUCCCAUGUGGUAUUGGUGUGCUGGACAUCCCCUCCCAAGGUGCAGGACUUUCCAUUUUUCUUCAUUGAAUUGUAGCAGCCACCUUUUGUGCCUUUCCUAUAACAUGGUGAGGUCUUCUUAUAGGAAAUCCACAGUCAAGGGGCUAUGCAGAAUUUUCCAGGCUUUUUUUUCCCCGAUGCAAAUAGUUAUAACCUGUAUGGGGUGAUGAAUGUACCCUCUUUACCCCCCUCCCACAGGCACUCCCAGAGGAACAGUGGAAGAAAUACCAGCUGAUGACCGGAGAAAGCAGGGAGAGGCUGGAUUGCCGAGGGGUGACGCUGCGCUGCCUUGACGAGGCUGCUCAGGAGAAAAAGCACCAGGCCGAGGAGAUGAAGAGGGACAUUGUCGACUUGGUGGACAUUAUAGGGACCAUUAAGAAACAUGAUCCACCACCGCCUGGUUAAUAUGUGCCGCCGACGAUCUGUUAAGCAGGAUGCAGCGUGCUCUGAGGCGACCCCGGGCAGGAGGCAACAUGUGACCUCGUGCGCCAAACCUUUGACCUCUAUUCAGAAGCAGGCUAUGGCUGACUGGCUGGUGCUGUCUGGUCACUCAGCUCAGCAAGGGACUGGAAGCUGGAACUCUCUCUCUCUCUCUCUCUCUCUCUCUCUCUCUCUCUCUCUCUCUCUCUCUC